rnacentral:rRNA from 1 species
CAGUAGCCGCGGUAAUACGGAGGGUGCAAGCGUUAAUCGGAAUUACUGGGCGUAAAGCGUGCGUAGGCGGCUUCUUAAGUCGGAUGUGAAAUCCCUGAGCUUAACUUAGGAAUUGCAUUCGAUACUGGGAAGCUAGAGUAUGGGAGAGGAUGGUAGAAUUCCAGGUGUAGCGGUGAAAUGCGUAGAGAUCUGGAGGAAUACCGAUGGCGAAGGCAGCCAUCUGGCCUAAUACUGACGCUGAGGUACGAAAGCAUGGGGAGCAAACAGGAUUAGAUACCCCCGUAGUCCCUGUCUCUUAUAC